rnacentral:rRNA from 1 species
AUGAACGCUAGCUACAGGCUUAACACAUGCAAGUCGAGGGGCAGCAUUUUAGUUUGCUUGCAAACUGAAGAUGGCGACCGGCGCACGGGUGAGUAACACGUAUCCAACCUGCCGAUAACUCCGGGAUAGCCUUUCGAAAGAAAGAUUAAUACCGGAUAGCAUACGAAUAUCGCAUGAUAUUUUUAUUAAAGAAUUUCGGUUAUCGAUGGGGAUGCGUUCCAUUAGUUUGUUGGCGGGGUAACGGCCCACCAAGACUACGAUGGAUAGGGGUUCUGAGAGGAAGGUCCCCCACAUUGGAACUGAGACACGGUCCAAACUCCUACGGGAGGCAGCAGUGAGGAAUAUUGGUCAAUGGGCGCGAGCCUGAACCAGCCAAGUAGCGUGAAGGAUGAAGGCUCUAUGGGUCGUAAACUUCUUUUAUAUGGGAAUAAAGUUUUCCACGUGUGGAAUUUUGUAUGUACCAUAUGAAUAAGGAUCGGCUAACUCCGUGCCAGCAGCCGCGGUAAUACGGAGGAUCCGAGCGUUAUCCGGAUUUAUUGGGUUUAAAGGGAGCGUAGGUGGAUUGUUAAGUCAGUUGUGAAAGUUUGCGGCUCAACCGUAAAAUUGCAGUUGAAACUGGCAGUCUUGAGUACAGUAGAGGUGGGCGGAAUUCGUGGUGUAGCGGUGAAAUGCUUAGAUAUCACGAAGAACUCCGAUUGCGAAGGCAGCUCACUAGACUGUCACUGACACUGAUGCUCGAAAGUGUGGGUAUCAAACAGGAUUAGAUACCCUGGUAGUCCACACAGUAAACGAUGAAUACUCGCUGUUUGCGAUAUACAGUAAGCGGCCAAGCGAAAGCAUUAAGUAUUCCACCUGGGGAGUACGCCGGCAACGGUGAAACUCAAAGGAAUUGACGGGGGCCCGCACAAGCAGUGGAGUAUGUGGUUUAAUUCGAAGCAACGCGAAGAACCUUACCAGGUCUUGACAUCGAGUGACGAAUCUAGAGAUAGAUUUUUCCUUCGGGACACAAAGACAGGUGGUGCAUGGUUGUCGUCAGCUCGUGUCGUGAGAUGUUGGGUUAAGUCCCGCAACGAGCGCAACCCUUGUCUUUAGUUACUAACAUUAAGUUGAGGACUCUAGAGAGACUGCCGGUGACAAACCGGAGGAAGGUGGGGAUGACGUCAAAUCAGCACGGCCCUUACGUCCGGGGCUACACACGUGUUACAAUGGGGGGUACAGAAGGCGGCUACCUGGUGACAGGAUGCUAAUCCCAAAAACCUCUCUCAGUUCGGAUCGAAGUCUGCAACCCGACUUCGUGAAGCUGGAUUCGCUAGUAAUCGCGCAUCAGCCAUGGCGCGGUGAAUACGUUCCCGGGCCUUGUACACACCGCCCGUCAAGCCAUGAAAGCCGGGGGUACCUGAAGUACGUAACCGCAAGGAGCGUCCUAGGGUAAAACUGGUAAUUGGGGCU